rnacentral:rRNA from 1 species
AUCACUUAUCGUGUGCGAACUUGUGGGCGUGCGUGAGUUUCGGCCUCGCUGUUUGCAUGUUUGUGCGUUUUGGGUGUACUUUUUCGUAUGGUAGGCCAACGUCAGUUUCAAUUAUCAUAAAAUGACCAGCGGAAUGUAGCUUCGAUUUCGGUUGAAGUGUUAUAGCCUCUGGUAGAUGUGGUGAUUGAGACUGAGGAUUGCAACGAAUACCCUUUGGGCUAUCCGUCUGGCCUCUGGAAGUUGCUCAGGUGCUGAAAGCGUGCUUACGGUCAUCUAAGAUAACGUUCAACAGGUUAGAACGUGGUUACAUUCGUUAAGGAUGUUGGCGUAAUGGCUUU